CUUGUACUCCCUCUGUCUGAAAAUACUUGUCAUUGAAAUAGAUGUAUCUAGAUGUAUUUUAGUUCUAGACACAUCCAUUUUGAUGACAAGUAAUUCCGUACGGAGGGAGUACUUG
rnacentral:pre_miRNA from 1 species